rnacentral:rRNA from 1 species
CGUCUAUAUACGUAUAGCAUAUCAAUAAGCGGAGGAAAAGAAACUAACUAGGAUUCCCUCAGUAACGGCGAGUGAAGCGGGAAGAGCUCAAAUUUGAAAUCUUCAAGGUUCUACCUUGACGAAUUGUAGUUUAAAGAAGUGUUUUCUGUUGGAGUUUUGGUAAAAGUUCUUUGGAAUAGGACAUCAUAGAGGGUGAGAAUCCCGUAUUUGACCAUUAUCUCCAGCUUUGUGAUACACUUUCAACGAGUCGGAUUGUUUGGGAAUGAAGUCCAAAAUGGGUGGUAAAUUUCAUCUAAAGCUAAAUAUUGGCGAGAGACCGAUAGCGAACAAGUACCGUGAGGGAAAGAUGAAAAGAACUUUGAAAAGAGAGUUAAACAGUACGUGAAAUUGUCAAAAGGGAAGCGUUUGACACCAGUGUUGUUUUCUCGAAAAUCAAUUAAAAAAGACUGGAUUUUGUGUUGUAUUGACUUUAUCAGCUUUCUGCACUCUUUUCUUGUCUUUUUUAAUGCACUUUUCGUUUAACAAGUCAACAUCAAUUUCUUUUGUUGUAAAAGAGUCAUUGGAAGGUGGCUUUCUUUUCGGAGAAAGUGUUUAUAGCCUUUGGCCUCUGCAAUCGGAGAGAUUGAGGUCUGCAGCGUAGAUCCUUCGGGGUUAGAUACAUUUGUGCUAAGUUAUAGCUUUUCAUAGACAACUUGUUGACUAUGAUUAGUCAUGUCGCUUACUCGCAUAUGUGCUAUUUUACCUACGCUUAGGAUGUUGACUGAUAUGUAGUCGUA